rnacentral:rRNA from 1 species
CCUACGGGAGGCAGCAGUGAGGAAUAUUGGUCAAUGGGCGUAAGCCUGAACCAGCCAAGUCGCGUGAGGGAUGAAGGUUCUAUGGAUCGUAAACCUCUUUUAUCAGGGACUCCAGUGUGGGACGUGUCCUAUUUUGUAUGUACCUUAUGAAUACGGAUCGGCUAACUCCGUGCCAGCAGCCGCGGUAAUACGGAGGAUCCGUGCGUUAUCCGGAUUUAUUGGGUUUAAAGGGUUCGGAGGCCUCCUUUUAAGUCAGCGGUGAAAGUCUGUGGCUCAACCAUAGAAUUGCCGUUGAAACUGGGGGGCUUGAGUAUGUGUGAGGCAGGCGGAAUGCGUGGUGUAGCGGGGAAAUGCUUAGAUAUCACGCAGAACCCCGAUUGCGAAGGCAGCCUGCCAAGCCAUGACUGACGCUGAUGCACGAAAGCGUGGGGAUCAAACAGGAUUAGAUACCCCAGUAGUC